UACGUAGGGGGCAAGCGUUGUCCGGAUUUAUUGGGCGUAAAGAGCGUGUAGGCGGUUUGGUAGGUCCGCUGUGAAAACUCGAGGCUCAACCUCGAGACGCCGGUGGAAACCAUCAGACUAGAGUCCGGAAGAGGAGAGUGGAAUUCCUGGUGUAGCGGUGAAAUGCGUAGAUAUCUGGAGGAACACCGGUGGCGAAGGCGGCAUCCUGGACCGGCAUUGACGCUGAGGAGCGAAAGCCAGGGGAGCAAACGGG
rnacentral:rRNA from 1 species